rnacentral:ncRNA from 1 species
UUUUCAACACUAUCAUUUAAUAAUCCUUUACCUACAAGGUGAACUAUCUGAUACUUUUUAGUAAGGUCAUCAAUAUUAUUCCAAAUAUAAUCAUUUAGAACUUUCGAUCCUAAUGAUCCACCCAUAACAAGCAUCACAGGUUUUUCUGAUGUAAAUCCAGUUAGUUCAUA